CCAGAAGAUGGGACAAUCUACAGAGGAGAGAAUCACUCAGCCCUUUCGUCUGUGGCUUCUGUAUUCUUUCACCCAGCAGCUGUUACUGGCACGUGCAGGAGACAGGAUGUUCAGUUAAACAAACAUCUGGUCUGACCCCACUGGGCAGUUCUUUCGUUUUUAUUUAGAGCCUCAUCUCAGCAGUGGAGGUGUCCAUUGCCUGAUCCAUUACCCAGUUAAAAGAACAUGUUGCUACUCACUUAAAAGCAAACGCAAUCUUAAAUUACACAUACAGCAGCUAAAUGUAGCCUCAGUUUAAAUUAAAGGCCAUGUUUUCCCAGAGGGACAGCUGGCUCUGGUAGUCCAGAAUGAGUCUUUUCCUGUGUAGGAGAUUGUUUUUUUAAAGCUGUAUCUACCUAUGCCAAAAUGCUUCUUGCUUCUAAUGCAGGUGAAAAGGGAAAGGUGAAGCUGAUUGCUAUUUAAACAAAUAUGCUUUUUUGCACCUGUGGAGGUGGUGUUUAUUUGUUUGUUUUGUUUUUCUUUUAUUUUUAAGGACUGAGCAGGCUUUUGACAGGAGGAUAAAUCCUCUGGAAGAUAUUUAAUGUGAUGCUUCUUUUAUUGUGGUGCCAGAGUUUCAUGGGAAAGCCAGGCUUGUGGAAAAUGCUCUUGUCUGUCGUUCACAAUAACAUCUAUCCUAACACCUGCCCACAUUCAUGGCUCAGAUACAUAUGGAGUUGAGAAGAUUUGCUUCAGAACGAAAAAAGAACUAGUCCAUCUUUGUGGGGAACUUUUCACUGUCUGAGUUAAAAAGGACAAUCCAUUUGAGGAGAAUGUUUUACUCCGCUAUUCAUACCACAAAAAGGACUUAGUGUCAAAACUGAUAUGAGAAUCGAGAAGAACCCUCUCCUGGUGUAAGACUUUUGCUUUCUAGUUCACAUGAUGAACUAGGCUUACACGUGUGCUCUGGAAGCUGAUGACCCCACAGGAUUUCUGACGCAGGAAGAAUUCCUGAGUUUAUGUUUAAAUUUUGUCAGGAGCAAUUUGUUUAUCCAUGCAGGCUUCAUACAACCUUUGCUUGGCAGGUCGUUCUUGAUCUUGGAGAAUAUGAUCCUUGAAAAUUAACCAACUCCUCAGGACCCCACUUCUUUCCAGGACUCUGCCUCAAGGGCUGCUUCCAAGCAGGUCGUUGAGCAA
rnacentral:lncRNA from 1 species